GGAUGACUUGUGGCUGGGGGUGAAAGGCCAAUCAAACCGGGAGAUAGCUGGUUCUCCCCGAAAUCUAUUUAGGUAGAGCCUUAUGUGAAUACCUUCGGGGGUAGAGCACUGUUUCGGCUAGGGGUCCAUCCCGGAUUACCAACCCGAUGCAAACUGCGAAUACCGAAGAGUAAUGCAUAGGAGACACACGGUGGGUGCUAACGUCCAUCGUGGAGAGGGAAACAACCCAGACCGCCAGCUAAGGUCCCAAAGUCUAUAUUAAGUGGGAAACGAAGUGGGAAGGCUUAGACAGCUAGGAUGUUGGCUUAGAAGCAGCCAUCAUUUAAAGAAAGCGUAAUAGCUCACUAGUCGAGUCGGCCUGCGCGGAAGAUGUAACGGGGCUAAAAUAUAGCACCGAAGCUGCGGCAUCAGACGUAUCACUAAUACGCCUUACGAUUAACAACAUCGAAUGAAGUGAAACGGAAAGAGAUGUUGGUCAAGCAACCCGAACGUUGAGUCGGAAAGUAAUCGAAGAGAGGAUUAUUAGUGAUACGUCUGUUGGGUAGGGGAGCGUUGUGUAAGCGGAUGAAGGUGAAUCGAGAGGUUUGCUGGACGUAUCACAAGUGCGAAUGCUGACAUAAGUAACGAUAAAACGAGUGAAAAACUCGUUCGCCGGAAGACCAAGGGUUCCUGUCCAACGUUAAUCGGGGCAGGGUGAGUCGGCCCCUAAGGCGAGGCUGAAAAGCGUAGUCGAUGGGAAACGGGUUAAUAUUCCCGUACUUGGUAAAGCUGCGAUGUGGGGACGGAGAAGGUUAGGUUAGCAGACUGUUGGAUGUCUGUUUAAGUUGGUAGGUGGGGAGUUUAGGCAAAUCCGGACUUCCAUAACACUGAGAGAUGAUGACGAGUUUCUACGGAAAUGAAGUAACUGAUACCACGCUUCCAGGAAAAGCCACUAAGCGAAAGGCUUUACUAAACCGUACUGAAAACCGACACAGGUGGUCAGGUAGAGAAUACUCAGGCGCUUGAGAGAACUCGGGUGAAGGAACUAGGCAAAAUAGCACCGUAACUUCGGGAGAAGGUGCGCUGGCGUAGGUUGUAGGAGUAUACCUCCGAAGGCUGAACCAGUCGAAGAUACCAGCUGGCUGCAACUGUUUAUUAAAAACACAGCACUCUGCAAACACGAAAGUGGACGUAUAGGGUGUGAUGCCUGCCCGGUGCUGGAAGGUUAAUUGAUGGUGUUAUCGAAAGAGAAGCUCCUGAUCGAAGCCCCAGUAAACGGCGGCCGUAACUAUAACGGUCCUAAGGUAGCGAAAUUCCUUGUCGGGUAAGUUCCGACCUGCACGAAUGGCAUAAUGAUGGCCAGGCUGUCUCCACCCGAGACUCAGUGAAAUUGAAAUCGCCGUGAAGAUGCGGUGUACCCGCGGCUAGACGGAAAGACCCCGUGAACCUUUACUAUAGCUUGACACUGAACAUUGAAUUUUGAUGUGUAGGAUAGGUGGGAGCCUAAGAAGCAGUCACGCCAGUGAUUGUGGAGGCGUCCUUGAAAUACCACCCUUUAACGUUUGAUGUUCUAACGAAGAUUGCUAAACGCGGUCUCGGACAGUGUCUGGUGGGUAGUUUGACUGGGGCGGUCUCCUCCCAAAGAGUAACGGAGGAGCACGAAGGUUUGCUAAUCACGGUCGGACAUCGUGAGGUUAGUGCAAUGGUAUAAGCAAGCUUAACUGCGAGACAGACAAGUCGAGCAGGUGCGAAAGCAGGUCAUAGUGAUCCGGUGGUUCUGAAUGGAAGGGCCAUCGCUCAACGGAUAAAAGGUACUCCGGGGAUAACAGGCUGAUACCGCCCAAGAGUUCAUAUCGACGGCGGUGUUUGGCACCUCGAUGUCGGCUCAUCACAUCCUGGGGCUGAAGUAGGUCCCAAGGGUAUGGCUGUUCGCCAUUUAAAGUGGUACGCGAGCUGGGUUUAGAACGUCGUGAGACAGUUCGGUCCCUAUCUGCCGUGGGCGUUGGAGAAUUGAGAGGGGCUGCUCCUAGUACGAGAGGACCGGAGUGGACGCAUCACUGGUGUGCCAGUUGUCUCGCCAGAGGCACUGCUGGGUAGCUAAAUGCGGAAGAGAUAAGUGCUGAAAGCAUCUAAGCACGAAACUCGCCUUAAGAUGAGUUCUCCCAGUCUAUAAGACUGUAAGGGUUGUUGGAGACUACGACGUAGAUAGGUCUGGUGUGUAAGCGGUGUGAGCCGUUGAGCUAACAGAUACUAAUUGCCCGAGAGGCUUAACUAU
rnacentral:rRNA from 1 species